UACGUAGGGUGCAAGCGUUGUCCGGAAUUAUUGGGCGUAAAGAGCUCGUAGGCGGUCUGUCGCGUCUGCUGUGAAAACUCAGGGCUUAACCCUGAGCUUGCAGUGGGUACGGGCAGACUAGAGUGCGGUAGGGGAGACUGGAAUUCCUGGUGUAGCGGUGAAAUGCGCAGAUAUCAGGAGGAACACCGGUGGCGAAGGCGGGUCUCUGGGCCGUAACUUACGCUGAGGAGCGAAAGCAUGGGGAGCGAACAGG
rnacentral:rRNA from 1 species